AGCGGAAGUGACCAAGGCAGCAUCUCUGGGCAAGUGGAGCGGCUCAGGAUGCAGCUCAGUGGCAGGGGAUGAGGCUGCACUGUGGCACCGGGUUCCAGCCCUGAUCUCGGAGGGGAGAGCCUGGUGCGCGGGUCCGGCCUCCUGCGCCUCCUCGAAGCCCUUCAGCCCCUCCUCUGUGAGACGCGAAGGGAGCCGGCGGCCGAGAGCUGCGGUCGCCGUAAAGGCGAACAAUCAGACUCCUCAGAGCUCGGUGGAGGGGCGAGAGCCAGCAGAGCGCAGCCGGCGGAGGGUGCACGCCUGUAAUCCCAGCACGCAGGAGGCUGAGGCAGGAGGGUCGCCACAAGUUUGAGACCAGCCUCGGCUAAAUAGCGGAUCCUGUCUCAAAAAAACCCCAAACAAACACAGAGCGGAGGCAGAGGGUGGGGUCGGGGAUUGAGUGGUUGGCACCGGGUUGGGGGCGGGCUCAGGGCUGCCACGCCCGGAGCGGCCACUCGGGGGCGCGAGCGGCCGGUUCCCGGCACCUGCCCUCGGGCCGCAGCCCUGCUGUCCCCCAAAGGGCUGGUGAUCCAAGCCUGGGAACCGGACCAGGCGAUCAGCGCGUGCCCCAGCAGGCCGAGGGUGCCUCCCAGCCUGUCCCGCGUGUCCUCCACCGCAGCAGCCUCCGACUCCCCAGUAGCGGGCCAAGGCCCCGGACCAUUGCGGGGCCUCGAGAGCGCCCGUCUCCGCGUCUGCACCCCUAGCCUCGCUCGGCUCCGGAGGGACCUGGUGCGCCUGCUUCAGACCCCGCUCCGGCGACCUGGUGGGCACAGCCUCCGCUGCUCCACCCCGGAAAGGCACCGAGCGAAGGGGCGGCAUCUGCUUGGAGGGAGAAGAUUCGGGGUCCCAGGAAAGCGUCAUUCCCAGGCCGCCCGCGUCCUCUCCCCUCACAGCAGCUGGAGUCCCGCUCUGGGGGCCUGCGGAGGGGGCCGAGGCCAACCUGGGCAACUUAGCAAGACCUUGCAGCCCCCAAAACAAGGCCCAGGGCGCAGCGCAGCGGCUGAGAGCUCCGGUUCCAUCCCAGGACUGUGGAACAGCACCACGCACCCAGCUGCGGCUGUACCGACAAGCAGGCAGCUCCGGAAGUGGAGCACGGGCCUCUCCGGGCGGACGAGGGCUCCACAGGGGAAGGCCAGGCCAGGCGCCGUCGCCGGCAGCAGCGGGACGGCCGCUUGCACCUUGCCCCUGGAGUGGCCAAGGCUGGGUGCCCGCGCAGGGCCUCCCCGGACAGCGGAGGGGCAGGCAGGGUUUCCGGGCUCUGCCCGUCUGCAGGGGCUCAGCCAGGCCCCGCCGUGCCCCUCCGCUCCUGGCACCGAGGACUUCGUUGCCUGGCCACGCCCCCCCCCCCCGCGCGCGCCUAUUACACAUGGAAGCCGAGUGACUGGCCACCCCGGAAGGGCAGCCUUCCCGAGCGCCCGGUGUGAGCGACAGCCUGCUCCCAGCGAAGCAAGAGGCAGGCCGAACUGCAGGUUUGCAGCUGUGCUUCCAAAACCCACCGGAGACAAGCCCGGGAGGUGACAGAGCAGCGCACGCUCAUGGCCCUGUCCCCGCAGCGCUAGAGAAACUCCUGCAGAGUGUGCCUGAAGUGAGAGCUACAGCAAUAAAGAAACAUUUGCACCGCUGAUUUGUGUGGUGCCAUAGUUAUCGGUAUAAAAUGAAUAGCCCGUUAUGCAGGCCAAGAAAUAGGGCGUCCUCGUGUCUUCGCUGUAAUUUAAUGUCUGCAAGCUUCUCUCCUCAGUAGAGCACACUUUGCA
rnacentral:lncRNA from 1 species